CCCAUGAAAUAUGGUUCAGUCGCUUCAAGCUUUAACGACAAAGGCAUUUUGUCAUUAUGUGGGAGGUGUUGGUCCAAGGCGAGAACAAUGCAGUUCGCAAUAAUUGUCAUGAGAAUGAAAUAUUCGAACGGCCCCCAUUCGAUGAUUGUACGGGCGUAGCGGCGGACGAAAUUAUUUUCGGUGAAAAUGAAAAGUGAUGUAGGACCUUUACCAUCGCCACGUUUACCCGGGAUUCGGCGAGCUUGGCUUGACUUGUCAGCGGAACUGUCCAACGACUGUGAAUGAAGUUGAAGCUUUGUCCGUUCACUGGCCAACCUGGCAAUGUCAUCGAUGCGUAAAUUCAUCCCGAACGGAAAAACAACGAUGAAAUAUUAGUUGAAUGGGUCAAAUCGAUCUUUGGAACCCGAAAGCAUGAGAGCAGCAUGUUUGUGUUGUUAGCAGACAAACAACAAACAACAAUGGGAAUAUUAUCAAUUGAUGAUAAUAAUGAUGAUGAUGUAUGUUCGUUCACUACCUCUGUCGAUUAUACUCUCAUACUUCUUCUACAAUAGUGCUGUAUGUUUUCAGCUUUCUGUAUUUGUUGUUCACAGUUUCUCUGUUGAUGGAUAAGUAAAGACAAAUGCACAGAAAACAAGUAAACAAAUAAACAAAUAAACCAAUUUUCCAAUAGCUAAUUGAGAAAUACCAACCACGAACAGAAAUUUACUGUUUGCCUUGCCGCCUCAGUUUCUGCUUCUUCUGCUUCUGCUGCUACUGCUAUUACUAGUGCUGCUGCUGCUGCUGCUGCUGCUGCUAUUGUUUACUUGCUGUUGUUGUGUGUUGUUGUACACACACACCCACACAAUUCUGUGUGCAGUUGUCGUAUGUUUUCGAAAGGGAAUCCGGUUGAUAUUCCGGAACCGAGUAACGGAGACAAAGAGUAGCGCUUUAAUCUUCCGGUUGGCGUUCAACUCAAUCGCGCGGUAACGCAAGCGAACUCGGAAAAUGACCGUCGUGAGUUUCGAAAAGAGUUUUCUUUUCUUUUUAAGGGACGCAUUCCCUGGAACCGGGUUGUCCGGAGAUAGGGAUUCUGGUAUCCAUAAAACGCCGACUCUUUCACGGUGUUCGGAGCGCUCUCGUCGGUACGUGAAAAUCCGAGCGACGCCUGGUAAAUCUCGUACUUGGUCGUACUGAUAUCCGCAGCAGGUCUCCAAGGUGAAUAGCCUCUGGCCGAUAGAAUAAUGUAGGUAAGGGAAGUCGGCAAAACGGAUCCGUAACUUCGGAACAAGGAUUGGCUCUAAGGGCUGGGCCGAUCGGGCUGAGGUUUCAAGCGUGCAGUGUAUGCUUGGCUGAGCUGUGCUGAGGAUUGAUUAGCUUGGUGCCGUUUGUUGACCCAAGCGGCUGUCCAGGUGGUCAUGUCUGAAGCAAAGCUGGCCGACAGACCGGCACGUGCAGAACCUGAGCUGCGCGGCUGUCAGUUUAUUUGUACAGACCGUUUCGGUCGGCAUUCAACAGCCAACUUAGAACUGGCACGGACACAAGGAAUCUGACUGUAUAAUUAAAACAAAGCAUUGCGAUGGCCGAUGAUCGGUGUUGACGCAAUGUGAUUUCUGCCCAGUGCUCUGAAUGUCAAAGUGAAGAAAUUCAACCAAGCGCGGGUAAACGGCGGGAGUAACUAUGACUCUCUUAAGGUAGCCAAAUGCCUCGUCAUCUAAUUAGUGACGCGUAUGAAUGGAUCAACAAGAUUCCUUCUGUCCCUAUCUACUAUCUAGCGAAACCACAGCCAAGGGAACGGGCUUGGCAAAAUCAGCGGGGAAAGAAGACCCUGUUGAGCUUGACUCUAGUCUGACUCUGUGAAGAGACAUGAAAGGUGUAGCAUAGGUGGGAGGCUGCAGCCGGGCACUGCUUGCGCGGUGUCUCUGUGGUCGCCAAUGAAAUACCACUACUUUGAUCGUUUCUUUACUUAUUCGGUAAAGCGAAAAAAUUGUGGCCAAUUUUGCGGUCUCGCCGCUGUUGGUCAUUGUUUUAAUGUUGGAUUGAAGCUUCGUUUGUAGCCGUCGUUUUGUGUCGCCGUUUGACGUGCAUUCGCAGUGGUGUGGGUUUCUUGGCUCGCGCGCGGCUAGUGUCGUCAACAGCGGACGACCGGCGAUUGGUUUGAAGUGAUUCGCUCCGGAAACAGUGUCAGACGGGGAGUUUGACUGGGGCGGUACAUCUGUUAAACGAUAACGCAGGUGUCCUAAGGUAAGCUCAGCGAGGACAGAAACCUCGCCUAGAGUAAACGGGCACAAGCUUACUUGAUUUUGAUUUCCAGUACGAAUAAAAACCGCGAAAGCGUGGCCUAUCGAUCCUUUUGAUUGUGUAGAUUUCACGCAAGAGGUGUCAGAAAAGUUACCACAGGGAUAACUGGCUUGUGGCAGCCAAGCGUCCAUAGCGACGUUGCUUUUUGAUCCUUCGAUGUCGGCUCUUCCUAUCAUUGCGAAGCAGAAUUCGCCAAGCGUUGGAUUGUUCACCCACCAAUAGGGAACGUGAGCUGGGUUUAGACCGUCGUGAGACAGGUUAGUUUUACCCUACUGAUGACAAGUCGUUGCGAUAGUAAUCCUGCUCAGUACGAGAGGAACCGCGGGAUCAGACAUUUGGUUCAUGCGCUCGGCUGAAAGGCCGGUGGCGCGAAGCUAGCAUCUGCAAGAUUAUGACUGAACGCCUCUAAGUCAGAAUCUUUUCUAGUCAUUGGCAACGAUAAGUUGCGUCCGGACUCGAUGCGAGGAAACGACUAGGCUUUGUUGU
rnacentral:rRNA from 1 species